GCGGGGCGUGCGGGGCGUGAGGGGCGUUUCGGUGUGGGCUUCCUCGGCUUUGCCGGUGACCGGGAAUAGGGACCCUGGAGAGCCCGGCGUCCCUUGCUGUGGGUUCCCCGGGUCCCGCUUGAUUCAUCACAGUAUCUGCAGGAUCUGCACCCUGUCGGGCGCACACCCACCCCGUGUGCCGGAGCCCUCGUCCGUGCUGUGGACUGGAUUCCUGUCUUUGGCCCCAGGCUCUUUAGUUUGUAAGUUAGCACACCCCUCCAUCUCCAGACUCCAUGAGGACAGAAAACAAUACUAAGGACGGACUGUGGUCGGUGGGAGGCCUUAUGGGGAGCGCGCACCACACGCGAGCCAGGAAGAAGGAGGUGCGCCAAGGAGGAGGAGGCCGGCCCUGGCCGGGGCCUCGGAGCCAGCGUUCAAGGCCCACGUCCUGACCCUUGCAGUAUCGCCUCACAGGGCUCAUCAUGGUACAUCUGCGUGCACCGGGCCUGGAGAAAUCUGACUGUUGUCCUUUGGACUCUGACAACCUGUGUGGGCCUUUAGCACUCGCCUCCUCGCCAGGAGCAAAGCCCUGCAUGUCCUUAGAGAGCAGCAGAGCCCCUGCUCAGGCCCGCGCCAGCUGCCUCCUCUGUCUGCCUGCUGCCCUGGUCAUUCGUGAAACUCUUCCUGUCUUGCUGAGUAGGACCCAGUUGGGGGCUUCACUCAACAGCAGCUAAGGAGAAUUCCUGGCUCCCUGGGCCACAGGGCACGGGAUGAAGCGGGCGACCCUUCUUCUAGGGCCAAGGGAAUCAGCAAGGACCUCCACAGCAUUCUCACCCUGUCUGCUAACCACUGAAACAGCCUUGGAGCUCUUCAGAGGGGAGAGAGUUCAAGACUUUUCACAGACAUAAAUUAUCUUCUCCUAUUCCCUGUUGAGAGUUAAGCCUACUAAUGACUACUAAUGCCCGUUAGUACACAGAAGACAUUUUCUCAAGUAAAUCAGCCAUCAAAAAGCAGGAAAA